rnacentral:lncRNA from 1 species
UGGCUCCUGUCUUGCCUGGACCCCAUCUUGGUGCUCCAACUCUGUCUUGAGGGUUGUUGAGAAUAGAUUGUCAGUGUGUGAACAGGAGAGAGGUGAAUCCGGGUGAAAGGUGACAGCAUCUCAGAGCAGUGAUAGAAUCUGCUGGACAUUCAUGGAGGCUCUGUUCUGUCAUCUCUUUGGGCGGGGUGGGGUAGUCAUGGAUGGUCAUCAGAUGAAGGGCCUGGGGGAAAAAUGGCUUUAUUUUUCCUUUCUGUUAGAAGAAGUGGCAGAUAAGAACUACUGCCUCAUUAAUGCUUCCCUGCGUGGAGACGGUGGCCUCCUUCGAGCUCCUGUCUAGUGAAAGGGCUCUCAUAUACAAUAGAACAUAAAUACGAUUGGUGUGGAUUACAAGAGUAAUAAGAAGAAAUUCAGUGCUUUUUUAGUGGUCUCUUGGUUUUUAAGAAUACUUAUAAUGUUUUAAACUGUUAUUAAUCUUUCUAAACAUUCCUUUCAAAAAGGAAAAAAACAAGCAGUGGGUAUUUGUGCUUUAA